AAUCAGAUCUCUGCUCUACUGCAGGAUAAACACUGUAAACUCAACACACUGAUUCUGUGUGGAUGCAGUAUUACAGAGAAACAGUGUCUCAUCCUGACUUCAGCUCUGAAAUCAAACCCAUCACACCUGAGAAAACUGGACCUCAGUGAGAAUAAACUACAAAACAGAGGACUGAAGAUCUUAUGUGACGUACUGAAGGAGUCACACUGUAAACUGGAGAGACUGAGGUUAAGAUACUGUGAUAUGACAAAUGAAGGUUGCUCUGCUCUGACUUCAGCUUUGAAAUCAAACCCAUCAA